UGCUCAUUACCAAUAUUUUAUCUAGUAGGAGCUGGUGCAGCACUUUUCUGGGUCCUUGGUGUAUCCUGGUUCCUGAUAACUUUACAUGCUGCUUUUUAUAACAUUGAUUCAGUCUUGUGCCCAGGAGAAGAUGAGCUCAAUUCCUUAGUUAUGCAAGAAGUAUGAUCUGUAUUAUAAUAAAUUAUUAAUAACUGUACAUAAUAGAAAAUACACUAAUUCCAAUCGGAUUAAGAAAAAUGAUAAUUUAACAUUUAAGUGAUGUAUAGGAAAUUUUAAAUAUAUUAUGCUUACAUGAAUUCAUAUAUUAUUGGUAUAAUUAUAAACUAUAAUUUUUGUUACCA